rnacentral:lncRNA from 1 species
AUAAAUUUGCUGUGUCGUUGGCAAUCUGAAAGCAAAACUGUCGUGGCUUUGUUCAGUUCCCAAAAAGGUAAUUGGAGUAUAUUCAAUUAAAAGAAUUGGACUGUCCCAUCACCCAAGCUUGACAUAAAAAUUUAUAAAGAAUAUGAAUUGAAAAAGUAGUAAUAAGACAUAGAAAACAUAUCCCCAUUCAUUUUUCCUCUCUGUGCCCUUCUCUCACUAGACUGUUGAUAAGAACAGAAGGAACAGAUGGUGGCACCGUCCUGUCUCAGAACCAAAUACUGCCCUGCAGUUGUACACUGUAUGACAAGCAUCCCCAUGUGGAGACGCAGAUAGUGCUUCUGCAAAGUGGAGAGACACAGGCACACAGAGAAGCAUACGUGUGUAAAAACAGAACAUCUCUCCUCAGCAGUCUGAUUCUGUGCCCUGCAGGACUUCACCAGGAAAAACUCAGGAGCAAAAUGCAUCUCGCUAUAAUUAAAAUUGCCCAUUAAUUUUCAGACAAAGUGAUAAGAUUCAGGUGAGGAGAUGCCUGCAUUCAGAAUUCUGUGGGUUUUUCAGAAAAAUAUUCUCACUUUUUUUUUUUUUUGGCUGGUCAGUGUUCCUUUCGUGUUGUAUUUAUUUAAACCUCAAAUCAGAAUAGGUGCAUAGCCCUUCAUACCAGUGUGUGUUGUACACAGGCUGAUAAAAUGAAGUAAGUGUGCUUAUCACUUUUGAAGCCUGUUUUACAGAACUGUAUUUUUUUCUUUAGCAAUUCAUGCUGUUUUUAAGUAAUGUGAUAAAACCACUUCCCCAUCUUCCUGGAUAAAAUUGGUUGUUGCAGGAGGAGCAUGGUCAUCUUCAUCUGCUUGUUGCAUUUUCUUUAAAAACAAAACAAAACAAAAUAAUCACACAAAAACCAAACCCACAUGUGGUUGAAUAGCAAGUAUGUUUGUAAGCAUAUGCAUGCAGACAGAACUUAAUAUAUAUCCUAUGCUGCAUAUUGUGUAAUCUACAGAAAAAAGCUCUGCAUCCUGUUCCUUGCCCCACCACCCAUCCCUGGGAUAAUAGGAGAAUUGAAAUUCCCAUUUUCAGACCCACCGCAGAUUAAUAUGGUUCAACAUAGAUACU